CGGUAAUUCCAGCUCCAAUAGCGUAUACUAACGUUGUUGCAGUUAAAAAGCUCGUAGUUGGAUUUCUGAUCUUUGCCAAUGGUUGUGUCGCCGCGUGCGAGGCGCCUUGCGCAGAGGUCAACAUAUGUCACGAGCCAGUGUGAUCUAUUCAUUUAGGUCCACUGGGUAAUGACUCGUUUACUUUGAGAAAAUUAGAGUGUUCAAAGCAGGCAUUUGCCUUGAAUAUGUUAGUAUGGAAUAAUAGCAUAGGACUUCGGUUCUAUUUGUUGGUUGUUCGAGAACUGGAGUAAUGAUUGAUAGGGACGGUUGGGGGCAUCCGUAUUCUCAAGCGAGAGGUGAAAUUCUUGGACCUUGGGAAGACGAACAGCUGCGAAAGCGUUUGCCUAGGACGUUCUCUUUAAUCAAGAACGAAAGUUGGGGGAUCGAAGACGAUCAGAUACCGUCGUAGUCUCAACUAUAAACUAUGCCAGCUAGGGAUCGGUGGGUCUUUGUCACGAGUCCAUCGGCACCUUACGAGAAAUCAAAGCAUUUGGGUUCCGGGGGGAGUAUGGUCGCAAGGCUGAAACUUAAAGGAAUUGACGGAAGGGCACCACCAGGAGUGGAGCCUGUGGCUUAAUUUGACUCAACACGGGAAAACUUACCAGGUCCGGACAUAGUAAGGAUUGACAGAUUGAAAGCUCUUUCUUGAUUCUAUGGGUGGUGGUGCAUGGCCGUUCUUAGUUGGUGGAGUGAUUUGUCUGGUUAAUUCCGUUAACGAACGAGACCCGCGCCUGCUAAAUAGUCGGCCUCACUUCUGUGGGUGUUGUACUUCUUAGAGGGACCAUCCUGGGUAUACCGGAAGGAAGUUGCGGGCAAUAACAGGUCUGUGAUGCCCUUAGAUGUUCUGGGCUGCACACGGGCUACACUGCAAGAUACAACAAGCGUCGAUCACGCCUGACUGGAAGGUCCGGCCAAUCUUUGAAUAUCUUGCGUGAUUGGGAUAGACCAUUGCAAUUAUUGGUCUUCAACGAGGAAUUCCUAGUAAACGCGUGUCAACAACACGCAUUGAUUACGUCCCUGCCCUUUGUACACACCGCCCGUCGGGGGUACCGAUUGGAUGUUUCGAUGAGCCGUUUGGAGGACUAAGCUGAAAGCGUCAGCCGGAAGCUACGUCCGA
rnacentral:rRNA from 1 species